UUGAAGAGUUUGAUCAUGGCUCAGAUUGAACGCUGGCGGCAGGCCUAACACAUGCAAGUCGAACGGUAGCACAGAGAGCUUGCUCUCGGGUGACGAGUGGCGGACGGGUGAGUAAUGUCUGGGAAACUGCCUGAUGGAGGGGGAUAACUACUGGAAACGGUAGCUAAUACCGCAUAACGUCGCAAGACCAAAGAGGGGGACCUUCGGGCCUCUUGCCAUCAGAUGUGCCCAGAUGGGAUUAGCUAGUAGGUGGGGUAACGGCUCACCUAGGCGACGAUCCCUAGCUGGUCUGAGAGGAUGACCAGCCACACUGGAACUGAGACACGGUCCAGACUCCUACGGGAGGCAGCAGUGGGGAAUAUUGCACAAUGGGCGCAAGCCUGAUGCAGCCAUGCCGCGUGUAUGAAGAAGGCCUUCGGGUUGUAAAGUACUUUCAGCGGGGAGGAAGGUGUUGUGGUUAAUAACCGCAGCAAUUGACGUUACCCGCAGAAGAAGCACCGGCUAACUCCGUGCCAGCAGCCGCGGUAAUACGGAGGGUGCAAGCGUUAAUCGGAAUUACUGGGCGUAAAGCGCACGCAGGCGGUCUGUCAAGUCGGAUGUGAAAUCCCCGGGCUCAACCUGGGAACUGCAUUCGAAACUGGCAGGCUAGAGUCUUGUAGAGGGGGGUAGAAUUCCAGGUGUAGCGGUGAAAUGCGUAGAGAUCUGGAGGAAUACCGGUGGCGAAGGCGGCCCCCUGGACAAAGACUGACGCUCAGGUGCGAAAGCGUGGGGAGCAAACAGGAUUAGAUACCCUGGUAGUCCACGCCGUAAACGAUGUCGACUUGGAGGUUGUGCCCUUGAGGCGUGGCUUCCGGAGCUAACGCGUUAAGUCGACCGCCUGGGGAGUACGGCCGCAAGGUUAAAACUCAAAUGAAUUGACGGGGGCCCGCACAAGCGGUGGAGCAUGUGGUUUAAUUCGAUGCAACGCGAAGAACCUUACCUACUCUUGACAUCCAGAGAACUUUCCAGAGAUGGAUUGGUGCCUUCGGGAACUCUGAGACAGGUGCUGCAUGGCUGUCGUCAGCUCGUGUUGUGAAAUGUUGGGUUAAGUCCCGCAACGAGCGCAACCCUUAUCCUUUGUUGCCAGCGGUUAGGCCGGGAACUCAAAGGAGACUGCCAGUGAUAAACUGGAGGAAGGUGGGGAUGACGUCAAGUCAUCAUGGCCCUUACGAGUAGGGCUACACACGUGCUACAAUGGCGCAUACAAAGAGAAGCGACCUCGCGAGAGCAAGCGGACCUCAUAAAGUGCGUCGUAGUCCGGAUUGGAGUCUGCAACUCGACUCCAUGAAGUCGGAAUCGCUAGUAAUCGUAGAUCAGAAUGCUACGGUGAAUACGUUCCCGGGCCUUGUACACACCGCCCGUCACACCAUGGGAGUGGGUUGCAAAAGAAGUAGGUAGCUUAACCUUCGGGAGGGCGCUUACCACUUUGUGAUUCAUGACUGGGGUGAAGUCGUAACAAGGUAACCGUAGGGGAACCUGCGGUUGGAUCACCUCCUU
rnacentral:rRNA from 2 species